UACUUAUACCCUAUAAGUAUAACUAAAAUUCCUAAUAGCUAUCUCAAAAUUUCCUCAAACUAUCUCUGUCUUCUGAGAACAGUUUCUUCUGCUUGGCAUGCCAGGCCUAGUCUAACCUACUUUACUAUAAAUUAUUCACUAACUCCUUAACUCCCUAACUCCCUAAAAUAACAGACAGUCACCACUCCUUCACUCCUUCAAUCAGAUUUCUAUAGCAGCCCAACUGUCAGCAGCCAACUGCCAGCAGCCCCUUGCUUCAGAGACAGACUUCCUGCUCUCUAGAGAUCCCAGAGGCAAAAGACCCCUAACUGUCAGAGGCUGCUUCCUUUCUUCCCUCACUGCCCAACUGUCCCCCCUAACUUCCUGUCAGAGGGCAGGCUACUUCUUCUCCUCAGACCUGGUCUCCCUGGUAACAGAAUCUUCAGCUCUGGCUCACUGACUCCUAUCUGUUCUGAUCUACUUAGAAACCUUAUUCUCCAGUCUCUUUAGGAGACAGAGGGAGAGAUGAAGAAAAUCCCUUUAACAAUAUACUCCAAGAAGGCAGGUAACUGGCACAGUGAAUGGAACACUGAACCUAGAGGGAGAAUGACUCUUCUUGAGUUCAAAUCUGGCCUCCAACACUGUGUGCUUCCAGUUCUACAUAUACUGCAUACUACAAAACUAUAUAUGAAGUUACUAUUGCCCUUUGUGGUGAAAACACUGAUGAGUCUUCCAGGAAAAUGUUUUCAUUGGGGUCCCCUGAACACUCCAUAGAAGGAUCCCAGACCAGAAAGAGUACAUGACUUCUCUGAGUGUUGGACCUCAGGAAUGCACCCAAGAAGACCUUCCCUGAUAACGACUGAUAAACAGAUAAAGAUGCUGGCUUCCAAGUCAAUGUUCCUCGGAGAUGACCCAGUGAUAUCAGAGAGCAAGCCCACAGCCAUCAGACACGACACGUGGCUCAGUGACUCCUAUGUCCCACCUCUCCCAUGUGAUGGAUCAAGGUCUCCUAAAUAUUUCACUUCACACAAUCUCCCCCUCUCAUUCUUUGGGACACCAGCAUGUUAAGUCUCGCCACUCUUGGUUCUCCGGGAGAUAAAUAUGUUUGGUCUCCCAGAAUGAAUCAUUCUACAUAUGUGUCAAAAAAAGCAUAAAAGAUAUUAUAUAUUUCAUGGAGGGAGUUACUACAAUUUGGGCAAUAAAAAGAAAGAAGGAGUGAAAGAAAAGUGAUUG
rnacentral:lncRNA from 1 species